UACGUAGGGUGCAAGCGUUAAUCGGAAUUACUGGGCGUAAAGCGUGCGCAGGCGGUUAUGUAAGACAGGUGUGAAAUCCCCGGGCUCAACCUGGGAAUUGCAUCUGUGACUGCAUAGCUAGAGUACGGUAGAGGGGGAUGGAAUUCCGCGUGUAGCAGUGAAAUGCGUAGAUAUGCGGAGGAACACCGAUGGCGAAGGCAAUCCCCUGGACCUGUACUGACGCUCAUGCACGAAAGCGUGGGGAGCAAACAGG
rnacentral:rRNA from 1 species